GAUGACGUCAAAUCAUCAUGCCCCUUAUGAUUUGGGCUACACACGUGCUACAAUGGACAAUACAAAGGGCAGCGAAACCGCGAGGUCAAGCAAAUCCCAUAAAGUUGUUCUCAGUUCGGAUUGUAGUCUGCAACUCGACUACAUGAAGCUGGAAUCGCUAGUAAUCGUAGAUCAGCAUGCUACGGUGAAUACGUUCCCGGGUCUUGUACACACCGCCCGUCACACCACGAGAGUUUGUAACACCCGAAGCCGGUGGAGUAACCUUUUAGGAGCUAGCCGUCGAAGGUGGGACAAAUGAUUGGGGUGAAGUCGUAACAAGGUAGCCGUAUCGGAAGGUGCGGCUGGAUCACCUCCUUU
rnacentral:rRNA from 1 species